AUUUGUGCUAGAAACAAUCCAGGACAAGCUGUGAAAACACCAAGUAAGCACACACCAAGGCCACUUUACCCGUUUCAAAGACUGCAGAUAGACUAUAUUCAACUACCUAAGGUAGGAGUGUAUGAAUAUGUGUUGGUGUGCAUUGAUCUCUUUUCAGGUUGCCCUGAGGCCUACCCAGUGUCGAAAGCCACAACAAAGGUCACAGCAAGUAAGCUUCUGAAGGAACUGGUAUGUAGAUAUGGAGUACCUGAAGUGAUUGAAAUUGACAGAGGUAACCAUUUCACUGGGAAAAUAAUGCAAGAAAUUAUGAAAGCCCUAGGGAUCAGUCAGGCCUUCCACACCCCCUAUCACCCCCAGAGUAGUGGGAAAGUAGAAAGGGCAAAUGGCACCUUAAAGAACAAGAUUGCAAACGCCAUGCAAGACACAGGAAAGCCCUAGACUGAAUGCCUUCCCCUAG